AAUGAAAUUUAAUAGUGUAGGAUUUAUAUUUGAAAAAUAAUAAAAUUAGAAAAUAAAAAAUACAAAAAGAAGUGUCGAUCCACAACCUAAACUAUGGCCUUGGUAGGAGGCAAUCCACUCUUCUAACAAAUUUUUACUUAUUUUGUAGGAAUACUUAGGCACCACAGGGAAAAAAUUAGAUGGGAUUCAUGUCACCCAAACCAAGCAUAGGGAAAGAAGUUGCAUCUACCACCCAACAUGGCCAAAAACAAAAUCAAAUAGGGUGGCCCUCACCUACAGCUCAAGCUUCCCCUAUAGUCUCCAAAAGUGGCUAUCAGAGGUUCUCCAUCAAAUGGGUUGAUAUGGAAGGGGUGCAAUGUUAGAAAGACAAUAAGGAGAAUAAUUACUAACCGAUGAAGAAUAUUGACAAAGUUAGCUUGGAAACCAAUUGCCCACGAAUCAUAGCAUGGAUACGACAUUUGAAAAUGGAGUUUAUCAUUGAAGAUAUAGGUGAAUGAAACUUGGAUUUGGUUAGAGAGUUCUUUGCAAAUUGGUUCCCAGAUACUCAAGGUAAUUACAUCAAAGUUAAUGGACAGAUUGUCAAAUUAACAACAGUAGAACUUAACAGUUUUCUACACAUUGGAUGUUGAUUAUACUAGACUGAAGGAUCUAUGUAGAAGGUCACCAUAUCGACCAAUUCAUCAUAUACUUUAUGAGCCAACAUUAAUGGCUAGAUGGGAGUACCAUAGAGAUAAGGGAACUCAUCAAAUCUGCACCUAUGCUUAUCUUAGCAAGGAAGCUCAAAUUUGAAUGUAGAUUGCUGAUGCUUUAUUGAUUCCAAGGACCCACUUCACUAACGUCACGUGUGAUCAUACAUGUCUAGUUUUUUCUUUGAUGAUUGAUGUCUUGGUGCAGUGAUUAAAUCAUCCAUGAGGAAAGCCUAAGUUCACCAGGGCGUUCGGUUCAACUUAGAGAUUUUUUUGACAAAGUUUUUAAAGGACAAUGGGGUCGAGGGUGACCCGGUGGAUUACAAGCCUUCUAGAAAUAUGAAAGGGGUUGAUGCAUCUAAGGUAAAGGAGCGUGAUUCCACUCCUCGGCCAGUUCUUACCAAUGCUAAGAGAGAUACACAUGAUGAUAGCUUCUUUCACCACAUCUAUGGCAUGAAUAAGAUGACGAUGAUGUGUGGUACAAGUCCACCCACUGCAGAUGAGCUGAGAUAAUUGGAUAGUGACUACUUAAUGAAUGACCAUGCAAAAUCCAUGUGCCGAGUUGGUUAAACCUUUAGAGUCCCGAUAGGUGAUGAUGUUCCAACGGAUGGUGAGCACUUGCUAGUUGAUUUAGUAGUGGAGACUGAUUCUAACCAAGAGGAUUCUGAGGUGGGAUAUCUUAGUCUCGAUGUGGAUGAGGGUGAUGACUAGGCCUAGAAAGCUCUUCUCCCCCAUUUUUUGCUUAUGUUUGUUAUUGUGCACUAAGGACAGUGUGUCUUCUAAGUGAGAGGUGGGGCAAAAGUGUUCCUUGGGCUGUUAAAUUUUUGCAUGUUUGUUAGUAUGUAAGUUUGUAUCUUGUUUUAGUAUUUUGAUGAAUUUGUUUCAGGUUGGAUCA